ACGCCGUAUAAAUAGAAGGAGAAACCAUAACGCGUUGAAAAUGAAAAUCUAAAUUGGUCCUAACAGUGAAGGCAGGCAACCGUUGUCGAUGGCAAGCAGCAACUCUUUCUCUAAAGCACCGCCUUCCUGGUUUUCUCAGUGUUGGUCCUCUGCUCGCAGGACCAAACCUAUAAAUUCACCCUUUGACACUAUCGUCGCUACAAAUUCCUCCGAUGGACUCGUCCGCCGUCUCGGUCUCUUUGAUCUUAUUCUGCUUGGCGUUGGUGCCUCCAUUGGUGCCGGUAUCUUCGUCGUCACCGGAACCGUCGCUCGCGAUGCUGGACCUGGAGUCACAAUUAGUUUCAUACUAGCCGGAGUAUCAUGUAUAUUAAAUGCACUCUGUUAUGCUGAGCUGGCUUCUCGUUUCCCUGCUGUUGUUGGAGGAGCAUACUUGUAUGCAUAUUCAGCUUUCAAUGAAAUCACUGCUUUCCUUGUUUUUGGUCAACUGAUGCUUGAUUACCACAUUGGGGCAGCUAGCAUAGCGCGAAGUUUAGCAAGUUAUGUAGUCACAAUUUUAGAACUCUUUCCCCUUUUUAGAGAUCACAUUCCAAGCUGGAUUGGACAUGGUGGUCAAGAAUUCUUCGGAGGAACACUUUCUAUCAACGUGUUAGCACCAAUUCUCCUUACUCUUCUGACUGUAAUUCUGUGCUGGGGUGUUGGAGAAUCUUCGACUUUGAACUUUUUCAUGACUGUGACAAAGAUUGUUAUUGUUAUCAUUGUCAUCUUUGUGGGUGCUUUUGAGGUUGAUGUUUCAAAUUGGUCUCCUUUUGCUCCGAAGGGUGUUAAAGCAAUAUUGACUGGUGCAACUGUAGUAUUUUUUGCAUAUGUUGGGUUUGAUGCUGUUGCAAAUUCAGCUGAAGAAGCAAAGAGACCACAGCGGGAUUUGCCACUGGGCAUCAUAGGAAGCCUUUUUAUAUGCGUUGUCUUGUAUAUUGGAGUUUGUUUAGUGCUCACUGGGAUGGUACCUUACAAUCUCCUUGGUGAAGAUGCUCCUUUGGCUGAGGCUUUUAAAUCCAAGGGCUUGAAGUUCAUUUCUGUUUUAAUCAGCGUAGGUGCUGUUGCUGGACUUACAACCACUCUUUUAGUUGGUCUUUAUGUUCAGUCUCGGUUGUACCUGGGGCUUGGAAGAGAUGGUUUACUGCCUUCUAUAUUUGCUAAAGUUCACCCAACGCACCAUACUCCUAUUCAUUCUCAAGUUUGGGUUGGUAUUGUUGCCAGCAUUUUGGGGGGAUUAUUUAAUGUGCAUGUGCUUUCCCACAUUCUUUCUGUUGGUUCAUUGACAGGUUAUUCUGUUGUUUCAGCUUGUGUAGUAACCCUGCGUUGGAAGGAUAAGGCAGUGAGUCAAGUUUCUUCAAGGUGGACUUCAGCCUGGCAGGAAGGAGUCAUUUGCCUUAUCAUAGUUGCCUGCUGUGGCUUUGCUGCUGGUCUGUUUUUUCGUUAUGGUGCUUCAGUUGUUUUCUUGGUUAUAGCAAUUGUUAUAGCUGUACUUGCUGCUGCAGCUCUUUAUUUUCGUCAAGUUUACACGGAUCCUCCUGGAUUUUCUUGUCCUGGUGUUCCAAUUGUGCCAGUUGUUGGCAUCUUCUUCAACAUCUUCCUGUUUGCUCAGCUGCAUCAUGAAGCAUGGGUGAGAUUCUUUGUCCUGAGCAUCAUCAUGGCUGCAAUUUAUGCAUUUUAUGGGCAAUAUAAUGCCAAACCAAGUUCAGAUGAGAUAGUUGUUUACCGGAGAGCUCCUGGGGAAGCAGCAAGUUAGUAAUUAAAUGUUCAGUGUUAGACAACGAUGGUGUGGCUGCUUGUCUGUAGCAAUGAUUAUAUUGUAUAUUUGUAUUUACAAUGUAUCAUCUGUAAGGCUGAAGACAUUUAUUUGUAGGAAUCCUCUCAGAAAUGGAGAUGUAUUGAAACAUAGGAAUGGAAUAAAGCCAUUUUUUCACACAUUACUUGUGCUUUACUUAAUAUUGGGGCCACCAAGUUAUCAGAGGAAAAAUGAGUUCAAAAGGUGAAAAGAUUUGCAUUCAAUCGAUAUACUCAUCAGUCAAAUUCCAAGCAGAACUUGUGUUUUUAGACAAUGUUCCAAACUAGUAAGUGGAUUUUUUUUUUUUUUUAAAUGGAAAAAGAACUGAAGCGAGAGAGAUAGAGAGAGAGAGGGAGAGAGAGAGGGGAGCAGAAGAAAAGCCUGUCAAUUGCAUACAUCGGAAUAGAAUGCCAUAUUCCUCCUUUGGCAAUCCUGGACGCUACAAAAUAGGCAAAUUACAGAAUUAUCAAAACAACUGCUGCUAUUCAUACUAAGUUAUCUACUGCUUUUAUCGCAUGCAUUUCUUUGACCUGAAAAAAGAAAAAUAGGUUGAGAAGAGUGUAAUGAAGCUCUUUAAAAUGUAGUCCAGACCAUAAUAAUUUCUAGAAAUUUGUGUUUCCACCUGGAACUAAUGCAUUUGUGCCCAUGAGAAUUUUGGCAGGAGAGCCCUGUAAGUAGGUGCUGUCAAUGCGAUGGCCUGACUCAUUAUAUUCAAUGUAGUGGAAAGUCACCUGUAAAGAUUCUCAAGUCAACUGCAGCUCAAGAAUGGAACAUAGAAAUUUCACAGAUUCGCUUGAAAAAUUACACCCUGUUUGGGAAAGAUAGUGAGGGUUACAGAUUAGUUAUAUAACAGAUAGGUAACUGAUUACAAAUUAUGAAAGAUGUAUGAUGCAUCUUUACUUCAAACUUACCUAGUUCACACUCUUCCUAAGAGAACGCAAAUCCAAAGAUUUAACAGUUCCUAUCAUUUGAAGGAAAAAACUUUAAAUGUUA